rnacentral:rRNA from 1 species
AACGAACGCUGGCGGCAUGCCUAACACAUGCCAGUCGAACGGGACCUUCGGGUCUAGUGGCGCACGGGUGCGUAACGCGUGGGAACCUGCCCUUAGGUUCGGAAUAACUCCCCGAAAGGGGUGCUAAUACCGGAUAAUGUCUUCGGACCAAAGAUUUAUCGCCUUUGGAUGGGCCCGCGUUGGAUUAGCUAGUUGGUAGGGUAAAAGCCUACCAAGGCGACGAUCCAUAGCUGGUCUGAGAGGAUGAUCAGCCACACUGGGACUGAGACACGGCCCAGACUCCUACGGGAGGCAGCAGUGGGGAAUAUUGGACAAUGGGCGAAAGCCUGAUCCAGCAAUGCCGCAUGAGUGAUGAAGGCCUUAGGGUUGUAAAGCUCUUUUACCCGGGAUGAUAAUGACAGUACCGGGAGAAUAAGCUCCGGCUAACUCCGUG